rfam:Cavia porcellus supercont2_1 genomic scaffold, whole genome shotgun sequence.
GCCGGGCGUGGUGGCGUGCGCCUGUAGUCCCAGCUACUCGGAAGGCUGAGGUGGGAGGAUCGCUUGAGUCCAGGAGUUCUGGGCUGCAGUGCGCUAUGCCGAUCGGGUGUCCGCACUAAGUUCGGCAUCAAUAUGGUGACCUCCCAGGAGCGGGGAACCACCAGGUUGCCUAAGGUGGGGUGAACCGGCCCAGGUCAGAAACGGAGCAGGGCAAAACUCCCGUGCUGAUCAGUAGUGGGAUCGCACCUGUGAAUAGCCACUGCACUCCAGCCUGGGCAAUAUAGUGAGACCCUGUCUCUA